rnacentral:tRNA from 7 species
GGGCCCUUAGCUCAGUUGGUCAGAGCUGCGGACUCAUAAUCCGUAGGUCGCUGGUUCAAGUCCAGCAGGGCCCA